CACACCGCCCGUCACACCAUGGGAGUUGGAUUGACUCGAAGGUGGUGAGCUAACCCGCAAGGGAGGCAGCCAACCACGGUCGGUUCAGCGACUGGGGUG
rnacentral:rRNA from 1 species